rnacentral:lncRNA from 1 species
GCUCAGAGAAACACCCAUAGCGACAGUGUCUAGGGUCCUACUGGAUGUUGUCCUUCAACUGUCCUGGAAGAUCCAGCCUGUUAGGAGAGUCCCCUAUCUGUUCCCUGCCUCUCGAGAAUCGACUGUGUCCCAUCUUCUUGGUCAGCUUUCCCUGAUCUCAAGCACACAUGAUGGGAAAGGUUUCUCUCCGGAGGUCCUGUGCAAGCUGACAUGAGAAGGAUGAGAAGGAGCCAGCUUUCCAAGGUCUCCAGAGAAAGUAUGCCACAUGGGGACAAAAGCCAGUGCAAAGUCCCUGGGGUGUGAAUGAGCGGAGGAAGAAGAAUCCAUGCCUAUGUGGCCAAAGACGAAUCCUGCCUCACAGUCUUUGACUCUUUUGACUUCCCCUGUCGUGCCUCCUGCAGACUCUUCUUGCUUCCCUGGGAGAAUGGGUGGCAAAAAGUGCCUUCCUUAGCCAUGCUUCCUUGUCAGCAUGGUGCCUGGCAGGU